CAACUUAGUUACAGACUAGGACAAGUUGCCAGAGCUCUACAGGCACGUCCCACAGCCGGGAGCAAGCUCCUCUGUGCUUCACUAAAAGUAAGACCAGAGGUGGGUGACAGCGCCAUGGAGGAUUAACAAGCAAGGUAUUGGGGAAAAAAAGCCUGUAGGAGUAUCUAGAUCCUUUUCCGGAAAGAGAAAACAACACAACUCUAGUUCCUGUAAACAAACAUUUUUUUCUUCAGUGGUAGAAACUAAAACCAGACAAACAUCUGUGGACACAAUGAAAUUUUUGUGAAAUCUACCUCGCUUAGCAUUGAAGGAGCGACCCAAAGCUACAAUUAAGAGUCUGCUGCAAGCACAAGAGGGCAGACUGAUACACACUAUGGAUCUUGCCAACGACAGAGGUCUCAACCUGCUACUCAAUUUUCUGCUCAUUUUCUUGGUUCUAGUGCUCGCAUUUAUCCUUGUGAAGUUGAUGUGAACCUUUGUGAGGCUCUGCUUCCUUCUCAGACCUUGUUUUGAGGGCUUUGCAAUGAUAAUGCAGAUACUUAAAAAUGUCUAAAUAUAGUAUGCAAAGACUGCAGAGGCUGAAAUAUCUGACAGAGAAUGUGUUCCCACACCAAAUUUAUCAGAAAGCAAUCCUAAAAGCUGUGCACAACUAUCUACCUACCAUUGAGUGAAAAAAGCAUCUAGAGCCUUGCUGAGUACCUGAAGAAAUCCAACUAUGCAUCAGCAGCUACGAUAUUUUCUCACUGUUAGAGCUGAUUGGUAUUCAAAGAUCUACAAAUUAUCUGCAGACUUCAAAGAACAUCAUUUCUGCAAAAGCAGAAAUCAAAUUUUUAAAAUGGGAUUCCUGUAGAACAUGUACUUCAUGGGAAAUGACACAGAUACAGCAGGAAGGCAAAACAAAAUGCCAACACUGAGUUGACAGCACACAUCAAAUUAUCUGUGGAGAGAAAAGCAUGGAUGCUGUAGACGGAAACAAAGCAGCUUGCAGCUGAGAUGGGGAUAAGUGAAGGUUAAAUAUGAAAACAUAAUUAUUAGUUAUACCUUUUUUCACCACCUAUGUUUCACUGCAACACCCUAAAAGCCAGAAGCCUUAGUGUUAUCCAGCAGUAUCAAAAGAAGCAGCUGUCAAAACAACAGAAAAACAAAUAACCAUUAACCAGGGUUAUCACAACUCAGCCUAGGAAACCCUUAACACUGGCACAUACACAAGCAGUAGGUGUAUCUGCACAAACCCAACAAGUGUGUUACAGCCUCAGUAAGUUGGAUUUACCACUUAGGCACAGGUCAAGUGAGCAGUGUGGGAGCUCUCCAGCCAUAUUUGACAGACCACUUGCUACUUGCCAGUGAAAUCAUCCAGUCCAUAACCUGUCCUCCCUUGUAAGUAUGUAAAUAAAUAAACUUACAGGACCUUCUUCUGUGGCCCUUUACAGGAUGAUGUACUUUCCCCACAGGUCCUUGGGAAGGACAGUGACCAACAAGAGUACACUUCUCCUGGAAUUACUUGCCGAGAAGGCAGCUCUAAAUAACCUGAGACACUCUAGCAAAGGAGA